CACAAGCGGUGGAUGAUGUGGAUUAAUUCGAUGCAACGCGAAAACCUUACCUACCCUUGACAUGCCACUAACGAAGCAGAGAUGCAUUAGGUGCCCGAAAGGGAAAGUGGACACAGGUGCUGCAUGGCUGUCGUCAGCUCGUGUCGUGAGAUGUUGGGUUAAGUCCCGCAACGAGCGCAACCCUUGCCGAUAGUUGCUACGAAAGGGCACUCUAUCGGGACUGCCGGUGUCAAACCGGAGGAAGGUGGGGAUGACGUCAAGUCCUCAUGGCCCUUAUGACCAGGGCUACACACGUGCUACAAUGGCCGGUACAAAGAGUUGCGAUACCGCGAGGUGGAGCUAAUCUCAUAAAGCCGGUCUCAGUUCGGAUUGGAGUCUGCAACUCGACUCCAUGAAGUUGGAAUCGCUAGUAAUCGCGGAUCAGCACGCCGCGGUGAAUACGUCCCCGGGCCUU
rnacentral:rRNA from 1 species